rnacentral:lncRNA from 1 species
GCCGCCCACCUCGUUUUCUCCGCCAAGCAAAACUGCAGCCAAAUCCAUCCCACGGCUCCUCUCCCCGUGGACGUGUCCGCCUACCAGUAGCCCGGCAACAAGCAGGAGUAGCAGCUCCCGCCGUGCUGGCCGGAGCCCCAACUUCACCUUGCCGACCGGCGUCCUCGGAGCUCCACUAGCAGGCCGACCAGGCUGGUCCCCUCGAGCCGCCCUUCCUCUGCCUCUCCAUCUCUCUGCCUACCUUCCUCUCUCCCUCACAUUCUAUCUCUCCCUCUUCUCUGACCCACAGGAACAACAGAGGAGGUCCUAAAUUGCCGCCAUGGACGUCAAGCCUGGACCUCGCCGCCUUUGGGAACGGGAUGGACGCCCCCGGAUCAGGCCGAUCUGGUUCGUCCCCGUCGCCUCCGGCCAGGACCCUGUCACCCUCGCCGUCCCCGUGCAGAACCCGCCGGAUCCUGCCAUGGUCACCGCCCCAUGGAGCUUGCCUGUCCAAGCCGUCGCAAGGCCGCAACCCCGACCGGAUCUAGAGGCCCUUGCCUUGACCUGGUGCAUCGCCGUGUCCCCAUGGACGGAGCUCCACCAUCAGGCAAGACCUGACCUGAAGCCGUGCUGCCGAACCUGCAGCCUGUAACUCCAGCACCGACAACAGAGAAAGGAACAUCUGUUCUGCACCUGGUUCAGUCAGCG